AUUGAACGCUGGCGGCAUGCCUUACACAUGCAAGUCGAACGGCAGCACGGGAGCAAUCCUGGUGGCGAGUGGCGAACGGGCGAGUAAUGUAUCGGAACGUGCCCAGUCGUGGGGGAUAACGUAGCGAAAGCUACGCUAAUACCGCAUACGAUCUGUGGAUGAAAGCGGGGGACCGUAAGGCCUCGCGCGAUUGGAGCGGCCGAUAUCAGAUUAGGUAGUUGGUGGGGUAAAGGCCUACCAAGCCGACGAUCUGUAGCUGGUCUGAGAGGACGACCAGCCACACUGGGACUGAGACACGGCCCAGACUCCUACGGGAGGCAGCAGUGGGGAAUUUUGGACAAUGGGCGCAAGCCUGAUCCAGCAAUGCCGCGUGCAGGAUGAAGGCCUUCGGGUUGUAAACUGCUUUUGUACGGAGCGAAAAGGCUCUCUCUAAUACAGGGGGCUCAUGACGGUAUCGUAAGAAUAAGCACCGGCUAACUACGUGCCAGCCGCCGCAGUAA
rnacentral:rRNA from 1 species